UACGUAGGGUGCAGGCGUUAAUCGGAAUUACUGGGCGUAAAGCGUGCGCAGGCGGCCUCUUAAGUCAGAUGUGAAAUCCCCGGGCUUAACCUGGGAACUGCGCUUGUUACUGGCAGGCUUGAGUGUGGCAGAGGGGGGUGGAAUUCCACGUGUAGCAGUGAAAUGCGUAGAGAUGUGGAGGAACACCGGUGGCGAAGGCAGCCCCCUGGGCUAACACUGACGCUCAUGCACGAAGGCGUGGGGAGCAAACAGG
rnacentral:rRNA from 1 species